AGCGCUUGGUCAAAAUCCCUAAAACAGGGUCCGGUCUUCCCCCAUCGGUCUGCUCCUCCUACUCCCACGACCAGCGCCGCCGCUUGCCCCCGUGUCCGCCGUCCAGUUCUGAUCCGCCGACUCCCUCCCCAUCGAGCGCCGCCCACAUCGCCGUUGAGCACCGACUCCACGCCUCCAGCACAGCCUCCCUCCCCAUCUAGCGCGGCCCCCAUCGCCGGCGACUUCCAGAUCCGCCUCCCUGGCCAGCGAACUUCCAGAUCCGCGUCCCUGGCCGGCGAACUUCCAGAUCCACCUCCGUCGCCGUGUGGAGGUGGCUCCCUCCCCGACCAGAUUGAGGGCAACAGCCAUGGGGAUAUAGUCGCCAUCUGUCUAGGUCUUACAAAAUCAGGAAGUUGUAGCGCUACAAAGGCCAAGUUUGAGAAGUGACAUUGCCACACCACAACCCUCUCGAUCAAGAAGUCCAAUCCAGGCAUGUUGAAGAACCCACCACAAAGCAUCUUCAAGACGCACAUCCAGUAUAUUGGAAGGAACGUCAUCUCGAUCUUCAAAGUUAUGUUCCUGGUACUUCUUCAUAGUUGCAGUCUGCACUUGGCACCAAGAAAAGACCUUUUCAUUUGUUUGGUGACUAAUAGCAUGUGUGUCAUGAGCUGGAGUUUACCUUUGUGUUUGAAAACUUGUAUACAUAUAUUACAGUUUUGCCUUUCACCAUUGUUCAUUGAAAUAUGCUAUAUUCUUUUCCAUUGUAGGUGAAUUGAUCCUUCCAAGCCCAAGAGGAUGCCGGUACUCCGCUGGCAGAUCCUUCCCAUGCUGAAGGCCAUGUUCAUGCUACUCAUCUGGAUGAGCAUGGUUCUACCCCAAGACAGGAUAUAUACUAUUUGUUGCACUACAGUUGGUAUAUAGCAAGAUGGAUAAGAAAUACCCAAGAGCUUCUUCCUUUUCAAGAUUAGAAGAUGAAUGAUAGUGAUACGCUUCUGAGAAGAAAUCGUUCCAGGUACUGGGCGUAGUGGUGAUGGAGACAUAGACUUGUAAGACCCUUGGGUGGGCGAACGCCCUUGAGCACCUCCACUUGAACUUCUGGUGAAUGGAACAUUCCAAGCCCAAGGGAAUGCACUCCAUUAACAGAAUCUUCCCAUGAUGGAAGACCAUCCUCAUGCUACUCAUGUGGAUGAGCAUAGUUCUACUCCAACAUUUAGAAAUUCCAGUAGUAUAAUUAGUUGUUAAUAUUGUGAAAUAGGGUGCAGGUAGGCUCUCUUUGUCAAUUGCUUCUCUUGGCAAUUUAGGAAUCAACCAGUAUCCGUGUUUCGUAUUUGGUGACACCUCCUGUUAAGUUAAGGCUCCAUGAAUCAUGACUUGGAUAUGAAUAUGUAGAUCUUGUGAAUAACGAGAUUUAAAUAAAUUGGAUGGGUACAUUGUGACCUAGGAAUUGGAUGUGAUUUUAAACCGUGUUAUAUGAUCUUUGUGUAUACAUGAAUGUGAAAUGAUUUGGCAUGUGGCUUUGAAUA